GAUGAACGCUGGCGGCGCGCCUAACACAUGCAAGUCGAACGAUUAAAGCACCUUCGGGUGUGUAUAAAGUGGCGAACGGCUGAGUAACACGUGGGCAACCUGCCCCUUUCAUUGGGAUAGCCACGGGAAACCGUGGAUAAUACCGAAUACUUCGAGACUUCCGCAUGGAAGACUCGAGAAAGCUCCGGCGGGGAGGGAUUGGCCCGCGGCCUGUUAGCUUGUUGGUGGGGUAACGGCCUACCAAGGCAAUGAUGGGUAGCUGGGUUGAGAGGCCGACCAGCCAGAUUGGGACUGAGACACGGCCCAGACUCCUACGGGAGGCAGCAGUGGGGAAUCUUGCACAAUGGGCGCAAGCCUGAUGCAGCGACGCCGCGUGCGGGAUGAAGGCCUUCGGGUUGUAAACCGCUUUCAGCAGGGACGAGGCGAAAGUGACGGUACCUGCAGAAGAAGCCCCGGCUAACUACGUG
rnacentral:rRNA from 1 species